rnacentral:rRNA from 1 species
AACGAACGCUGGCGGCGUGCCUAACACAUGCAAGUCGUGCGAGAAAGUUCCUUCGGGAGCGAGUAAAGCGGCGCACGGGUGAGUAACACGUAGGUAACCUGCCCCCCAGUCUGGAACAACUAGAGGAAACUCUAGCUAAUGCCGGAUGAGACCACGAUCCCUUCGGGGGUUGCGGCCAAAGAUGGCCUCUACUUGUAAGCUAUCGCUGAGGGAUGGGCCUGCGGGCCAUUAGCUUGUUGGUGAGGUAACGGCUCACCAAGGCUGUGAUGGCUAGCUGGUCUGAGAGGAUGACCAGCCACACUGGGACUGAGACACGGCCCAGACUCCUACGGGAGGCAGCAGUGGGGAAUAUUGCGCAAUGGGCGAAGCCUGACGCAGCGACGCCGCGUGGGUGA